CCAACCUCUCCACAAUGGCCAAGACCAGAGAGUUGUAUGCUGGACAUGCCUAAGAGUAUGGUUUUGGAUUUGAAGAAGAUUGGCUACUCUAAAGUGAUGCAGGCUCUAACUCAGUCUGAGAGGCUGGAGAAGUGCGUCAGAGCUGGUAGACCGGAGAGGAGGACAAUACAAGAUUACCACAGAGACUCCAGAAGGAAGCAUCCUCUGCUGGGGCAAUAUGUUUGAGGAGGAAAUGUCAGCAACGAGCAUUGCCCUCAAAAGUGAUAGCCCGCUGUCCUAAAACCUCUGCAGUGGAUAGGCCUUUUGAUUCUAGGUAGGCUUUAUGAAGUAUUUUCUGCACUGAUCUGUACUGAAAGUGUGAUCACAUGCCGAGUAUAAUGCCCAUGUUUCAUAAACUGCAAUAAAGUAUUUUCAAUAUACACACAGCUUUUAUAUACACACCAAAAAGCUUAUUGUUCAUGUUUUGCACAAUGUUUUGCCAAGAUUAUACAUAUAAUCUAUAAUCAGGCCGACUGCAAGAAUGUCCCCUCGAAGCGUCGCAUCGGGACCGAUUGUUGAUUUCUCAAAAAAGCGUCCAGCUGUGUUUCAGACAACCUGACCGGACAUCCUCCCUGCCUUAAAAGCUGAAGAAUUUCUGCAGGAAAGGUCCGAGACCACCUCAAGGAAUGUUCAGGAGCCUUCUCACCUCCAUCUACUGCUCCUAAAUUAAUGUUGUCUGCUUUUCAGUCAGUACUGAUAUUUUAAUCGUUCAGUUUGCUCUUUCAGCCUUGACAAGGCAUUGACUUGGACCACUGAGCCACUUGGGAGUAUUCCUCAUGCACAGUUUUCUUUUUGUCAUUUCUUUGCUGCUGCCAGGUGUGGGACAUCUCCCUUCUGUUGAAGGCCGAAGUUAAUAUUUUGACCUUUGUGAAGUAUAAUGUGGGGAGAGGACUGUAUCCACUCUUCUGUAGUUCAUAAAGCUUGCGAGGCCUUUCUCUGUGUAAGACAUGGCAGACUUCCCUGGCCA
ensembl:lncRNA